rnacentral:rRNA from 1 species
GACGAACGCUGGCGGCGUGCUUAACACAUGCAAGUCGAACGAAGUGGAGAACGGGUGAGUAAUACGGGGGUAACCUGCCCUCCUUUUCGGGAUACGCCUUGGAAACGGGGUCUAAUACUGAAUAAAUGGGGAGGGGCGCGCGGCCUAUCAGCUUGUUGGUGGGGUGAUGGGCUACCAAGGCGGUGACGGGUAGCCGGCCUGAGAGGGUACCCGGCCACUGUGGGACGGAGAUGCGGCCCAGCCUCCUACGGAAGGCAGCAGUGUGGGAUAUUGCACAAUGGGCGAAGGCGUGAUGCAGCGACGCCGCAUAGGGGAUGAAGGCUUUCAGGUUGUAUACCUCUUGCGCUAUCGAGCGGGUAGGUGGAGAAGAAGCGCCGGCUAACUACGUGCCAGCAGCCGCGGUAAUAC